AUCUUACGUAGAUCUACUUUAUUUUUGAAAAAAAAUCAGCACAUAUUAGAACUUUCUCUAUUUUACUUUGAAUUCCAUUAUGACACAAAAGUAAAUUUUACAAGAUCUCCUGAUUCUACUCAUAUAGUGUAACAGAACUCAAGAAAAGAAUCCCUUGAGAAACAUUUACAGAUUCAUUCCAAGAUCUCCUUUGUUUUUUAGAACAUCAUUGGUAAACCAAGAUGUCGGCUAUUUUCGUCUCAUAAUUCAUCAGAUGAAUGAACACUUAUAAGCUUGCAAUAUAUAUAUCGAGCUGGAUGGAUAAUGCCCUUGCAUAUAACUUCCUCAUUUACUUUAAGUAAAAUCAGCAUCUAUCACAUCUUCAUUAUCAUUAGAACUGGUUCCAAUAGGCUUUGUGGGACUAGCAGCAGUCCAGCUGUAGGACUUGUCUCAGCAACUCUUGAUUGACUGUACAAAGUUACUUGUUGAUUAUGAUUGAUGGCAGUGCCUGUAAGAGUGUAAGACAUGAUCACUCUUUAACUAAUGGAUGUGUUCUUAUUGUUACAGGCCUUGCUGGUGAUUGAUGUCUACAUAAAGUUUGCUUAUGAGCAAGCUGCAAUUCAUGUAAUAGACAUUUGCUGGUGCUGAUAGGACCUAUACAAUUGAGGCUAUGAUGGGUGAUAGAAAAGCUUUACAAGCUGGGACUAGCCACAACCUUGGACAGAAUUUCUCACGUGCCUUUAACACACAGUUUACUGAUGAAAAUGGCUAAAGGCAACAUGUGUGGCAGACGUCAUGGGCUAUCAGUACUCUUUUUGUUCGUGGUAUAAUAAUGACUCUUGGUGAUGAUGCUGGUUUAAUGCUUCCACCAAUACAUGUUACUUGUUUUCUUUCUUGCCGUUGUGGCUAAACGCGGCGCAGCGCAACAGUUGUAACAUAUCCGUAGUUGGUUGUCAAGGUAUUUUGGUUGCUAAUAUUUUGAUACAUCGUCCAAGUUUGGCCAUGGUCGUUUCCAGACAACCAACGAGAAGCAGAAGUUUUAUGGUCGUCUAAAGGCUUAGAGGUUCCUUUGUCUAAUUGUCUUGUUACUUAAGCUAGUGUUUUUUGCAGAAUUUGAUGAGAUCAAUGGUGUCGAAUAUACAUUUAUUUUCGAGCAUUUGUUUCUUGUUAGUGACUUAUGAAAUUUUGCUGUUAUUUUAUGGCUA